rnacentral:rRNA from 1 species
AACUUUCAGGCUUGGUUGAWWGGUCCGCCUCACGGUGUGWACUGUUCGACCGAGCCUUACCUACUAGGUGAGCCAGCAUGCCGUUUAUUCGGUGUGUUGGGGAACCAGGAUUUUUACUUUGAAAAAAUUAGAGUGUUCAAAGCAGGCCUAUGCCCGAAUACAUUAGCAUGGAAUAAUAGAAUAGGACGUGCGGUUCUAUUUWGUUGGUUUCUAGGAUUGCCGUAAUGAUUAAUAGUGAUAGUUGGGGGCAUUAGUAUUCAGUUGCUAGAGGUGAAAUUCUUGGAUUUACUGAAGACUAACUACUGCGAAAGCAUUUGCCAAGGAUGUUUUCAUUAAUCAAGAACGAAGGUUAGGGGAUCGAAAACGAUCAGAUACCGUCGUAGUCUUAACUAUAAACUAUACCGACUCGGGAUCGGCUGGAAUAAAUGUCCAGUCGGCACCGUAUGAGAAAUACAAAGUCUUUGGGUUCUGGGGGAAGUAUGGUACGCAAGUCUGAAACUUAAAGG